UCUUGCAACAAAAACGUAGAACACAUCAUGUGUGAAUUAUUCAGCCAAUCAGGAUUAAGUGCUGUCGUCACAGAGGUGUUUCCCAGCCGGUGAAGCAGUUGGAGAACAACUGCUGCCAACUGACUGGAAAAACUGAGGGCGCCUUGCUCCGAGGUUUUAAUGUCAAGUGCACAGCGCCGGCGAAAGUCGGACAAAAUUUCUAACCAGCAUUCACUGUGUCAAAGUCCAGCAUGCAUCACUUCAACUCGGCGCGAUUUAGCGCAGCGCCACAUAAAGUCGAACGCACCUAUUGCACAGUGCAGUACUCCGCCUUCAGGUGAAAGCAACUUCCAGAAUCCUCCUAACUGAAGAAACCACGUCAGCUUAAAAGGCCUCAGACAGAAACACAGAUAAGACCAGAGCAUAGGAGUGCUGUCUAUGGGGAUUACGCUCUUAAAUCUGUUGAACUGUCAAAACAUCUGUUAAGUUUUAAAAGUUAUUACUGGCACCUUCAGUGUAAUUCUAAGUUCAAGGCGGAAUUUAUCUCCCUGUCCGACCGUGGAGCUAAUACUGGUCUGGCUUUACUGGAUGGAGGAACCAAGGAGCUGCUCCAGAUAGACUCCGAAGUGGCUUUUCUUCUCCUCAAUGCAUGGGACUGGUGGUAAUGCUCAACUUCUUUGGUUGAAGAAACUGCGUGGGACUUUGACACCGUCAUCCUCUUUUGCACCUUUUCUAUAGGAUUUCUAGGCUAUAUGAUCCUUAUACCCUGUCAUUGUCAUGGCUGUGAUGAUUCUGUUCUGCAUGUGUGGCUUCCUGGUGUUGUCCAAUAAAAACAUCUGAAAAAAGAAAA